rnacentral:lncRNA from 1 species
UUACUCGUUUAAUCAGAAUCGAAGAGGGGAGGGUGCGUGUGCUGCUGAAGUUCAGUGGGUAUGGUGAACCUUCACAUGGAUAGUUAUGCGAAACCUAGUCCAUACGUGGAUAGGUAUUUGUGAGCGUGUGGGUCACCUAGUAAAAGUACCUAUUAUGCCCAAUGUGAUAUUGUGUGUGUGCUAUCCAUGUGAUAAGGGGAUCUUUUUUACCUUUCCAUCAUCAUGCAAUGAAACCUUAGAUGUGACAUUCCGAGUGCAUAUGUGUUACUUUGGGUAUAUUUGUAAUAUUUCAAGUGUACAUGUGAUAUUUCAAGUGUAUAUGUGCUAUUCAAAUUUAUAAGUGAUAUUUGAACAUAGAAAUGAUAUUC